rnacentral:rRNA from 1 species
UACGUAGGGUCCGAGCGUUGUCCGGAAUUAUUGGGCGUAAAGGGCUCGUAGGCGGUUCGUCACGUCGGGAGUGAAAACUCGGAGCUUAACUCCGAGCCUGCUUCCGAUACGGGCAGACUAGAGGUAGGCAGGGGAGAGCGGAACUCCUGGUGUAGCGGUGGAAUGCGCAGAUAUCAGGAGGAACACCGGUGGCGAAGGCGGGUCUCUGGGCAAUAACUGACGCUGAGGAGCGAAAGCGUGGGGAGCGAACAGG